rnacentral:rRNA from 1 species
GAUCACAUUAUGUGACAUAUCAUUCAAGUUUCUGACCUAUCACCUUUAAACAGUAGGGUAUUGGCCUACCGUGGCUAUGACGGGUAACCGGGAAUUAGGGUUCGAUUCCGGAGAGGGAGCCUGAGAAACGGCUACCACAUCUAAGGAAGGCAGCAGGCGCGCAAAUUACCCAAUCCUAAUACAGGGAGGUAGUGACAAGAAAUAACAAUACAGAACCUUACGGUUUUGUAAUUGGAAUGAGUUAAAUAUAAACCCCUUAACAAGUAUCAAUUGGAGGGCAAGUCUGGUGCCAGCAGCCGCGGUAAUUCCAGCUCCAAUAGCGUAUAUUAAAGUUGUUGCAGUUAAAAAGCUCGUAGUUAAUCUUCUGUUAAUUUUUAUAUAUAAUAUUUCGAUAUUUAUAUAAUAUUAACAUAAUUCAUAUUACUUUUUAGUAUAUGAAACUUUACUUUGAGAAAAUUAGAGUGUUUAAAGCAGGCUAUUGCCUUGAAUAUUCCAGCAUGGAAUAAUAUUAAGGAUUUUUAUUCUUUUUAUUGGUUCUAGAAUAAAAAUGAUGAUUAAUAGGAACAGUUGGGGGCAUUUGUAUUUAACAGUCAGAGGUGAAAUUCUUAGAUUUGUUAAAGACAAAGUACUGCGAAAGCAUUUGCCAAGGAUGUUUUCAUUAAUCAAGAAGGAAAGUUAGGGGAUCGAAGACGAUCAGAUACCGUCGUAGUCUUAACCAU